rfam:Schistosoma curassoni strain Dakar, Senegal genome assembly, scaffold: SCTD_scaffold0008242
GCACUGCUGAGGAGUCCCAUACUAGGACGAAACUACCGUCCAGUGC